UUUCUUUUGUUGCAUCUGGGCUUGAGGCGCUGACAGAGGACCGUUUGCCGAAUUUUAAGACGACAACGAACCAUAUUUCGUAGGUUUCUAGGAUUUUGAAUGAUAUUAUUCCACUCCCUGUAUGUGUUGAUUGUUGCAUUUCAUAUUUGCCUCGUCUUUCAUUCGUUUUGUAAUUUCCAUUUUCCUUCUUUUCCGGGUAUAGAGAUGUUAAAUAUUUGAUGUUAAGCAGAAAUAGAUUAUUAAUAUCAUUUUGGAAUAUAAAGCAGCAGCAAGCUUAGCUCAUAGAAUCGUCAACACGUUGGACAAAAAGCUUAUAGGAAUUUCUCGGCUGAGGUUGACUUUGUCUUUCAUCCAUUCGGGCUCUUCAUAAUGAGUAACAGAUGAGCAUGGGGGUCGAAGUAAUCGACUAGCCAACUCCUCUCAAAUUACAGACAUUGUGCUGAGAAUAGAAAGAAAUAUUAUUUCGGAAAAUCUUACAACGGCUUCGAUGAUAUAUUAGAAUAUAUUUUACUAAAUAUUCUACAUGUCAACCGUUGAUUUGAACUGAACAUGUCAGAGAUUUGACAGGUUUCCCUGGGACAAGUAGUUUUGCUUUAAGUGUUCAGCCUGGUCGACUAAAGGUUAAUUGUAUUUAGUCCGUCAUCUUUUUCAUCUUGUCGAAUAAUCAUUUGAUUUAUGCCAAUUAUAUUAAAGAAUAUAUUUACCUAGGAUUUUUUUUUCUAGUUUAUAUAUCCUGGUGUUGUGUAAAUAAUUUAACGAAUUGGGAGGAAAGAGAUUAUUCACACGACGCACUAUGGCUACUUGUACCCAUGGCUCAACGCAUUACGUCCAUUGCUCACAAUAAAUUGCUCUUGUCAACUGGACAGCUCUUUACUUUCUAAUAAUGUAUCGGUCCACUUUUAGUCACGGAGGCGAGGGUCGGAAUCCUUCCACAACACUAGUAUAUGUACAACGCCUGUAAUUUUCGGGGUUGGUGUUAGACAAUUACAUAGAUUGUAGGGCUCAACUGGCACGUAUUUUAUCGGCCCUGAAUGGAUGAAAAAUGAAAAAUUAAUCUCGGUGGAAUAUGAAUUUACACGUCUAGACCUCGAAGAAAUGCCACCAAACAUUUUUUGUUCGACGCCCUAAUGUUUCUAGCGUUUCAUCGCCUUAAUUUGUAUCUAAAUUUAUUUGUACCUUGCUUCCACUCUUUGAAACUAUAAGCACUUAUGCUUAAACUAACUGAAACUAUGACCGUCUUCAAAAUGGGAACAGAAAAAUGCGUAAAACGGCAAGAAGUAUUUUGCAUGGAUAAAUAGUUUAAUUUACCAAGAAAAUAUACCACUGUCAAUAGCGAAAUGUGUUUGCACGUAAUGAAAAGAAGCCAUUGCGUACAUCAAACGUUAACUAUAAAAUUUCCAUUUUCAUCUAUUGUUUACCGUUGAACAUUAUUUGAAUUCUGAAUAGGAUGAACAAUAGGAAAUAAAACUAUAUCCAGCAGGAAGAAAAGGAUCGAAGAAUAAUUGAUAUAGGAACAUCGUUAACGACAAGAAAUAUCCUUUUGUUUUGAAACGAAAAUGGAUUAAUGAAGAUGUUCGUGUCUAUUAAAAUUAUGUUUUAUUAUACAAUGGAAUACCUCUACUGUAUAUGCAAUAUUUAUUUGGCAGAACUUUACCAGUUUGCAAGAUAACAUCUUCGGUGUAGAAAUGCAUUAAUUUUGCUGAUUGAUCAAGUGUUCGUUUAAAAUACAACUUUACUGCUCUAAUCAGUUUUUGUUUUGUGUUAUAAGUAACCAAAUUUUGUGGAGUGUUAAUGAAUAUACUGUUAUCAAAUGUAUUAUAUUUGCCAAAGAGAAAUCAAUAUUGCAAAGAAAGUAAAAUAAUAGAUAAUGUUUUAAACAUAAAAUGCUAAGGCAAGAAAUAUAUUUAAGGUAAUCAAGAUUGUAUUUGUGGUCUUUAAUAGUAAAGUAUGGAAUAUGUGUAAAUAUAUAUUCAUAAUUUUCACUAUUGAGAAUAGUGUUAAUAGCAUUUGAUUUGAAGAUUCCUGUAUGUGCUAAUGUCUCAGUUUUGCUGGGAUAAUGAUAUUGUAUAUUUAUGAAAUAACGAUUUCCGUGUCCUAUCACAAAACAUCCGUUUCGGUUCGAAGCAACGGUCUCUCCUUCAUCCCCACUCUCUCUCGCUUUCCCCGUCUCUCUCACUCAUUGUGUAUACAUAUUGUGUGUAUAUAUAUACACAGUCUCCAUGAUAGAUCGUUAGCCACUACACACAUUUUUUCUCUCCUUAUUUAUUCUGUGUCCCUUUCUGUAGAAGAGCGUAGGCUCGAAACGUAAAAGACUUUUUCUUUUCCUGAGCGUUAUACUAAUACAUCUGUUUGUUUUGUACACUACCUAUCUUCCUUUUGUGCUUUUUUCGUAAACUCUCCCUAUAUAUAUAUAUAUAUAUAUAUAUAUAUAUAUAUAUAUAUAUAUGUAUAUAUAUAUAUAUAACGGGAAGCUUUAUGAAAAUAGACAAAAGACGAAGGCAGGUGGGAAACAAACAAACAAUUGUAUUAGUAUGGCGCUCAGGAAAUAUAAAUAAAACAAGUCUUUAACGUUUCGAGCCUACGCUCUUCAACAUAAAGAUACACAGAGAGAAAAAACACAGAAAGAAGGAGAGAAAAAAAUGCGUGCAGUAACUAACGAAUCAACAUGGCGAUCUGAUUUCGGCCAGAGGUCAAAGAUCAAACAUGAGACGCGAGAGCGAAAUAAGGGGAGAUAAUAGGGUUGAUAAUAGGGUUGAAUGACCAGCUAUUAGUGCGUAGGAGAGGUAUGGACGUGUGUAUGUAUAGGGUUGGUGUAUGUAUUAGUAUGUAUUAGUAUGUAUAAGGGUGUGUGUGUGUGUGUGUGCGUAUGAGAGAUUAUUAGUGCGUAUGAUAGGUCUGGACGUGCGUAUGUAUGGGGUUGGUGUAUGUAUUAGUAUGUAUUAGUACGUAUUAGUAUGUAUAAGUGUGUGCGUGUGUGUAUGAGAGAGUAUAAGUGCGUAUGAGAGGUCUGGACGUGUGUAUGUAUAGGGUUGGUGUAUGUAUUAGUAUGUAUUAGUAUGUAUUAGUAUGUAUUAGUUGGUGUAUGUAUUAGUAUGGCACAUCAUAUAUGAUGUGAUGUGUAAAGUCGUGUGGUGUAGUGUGGAGAGAGGAGAAGAGGGGGAGGGGGAGAAGAGGGGGAGGAGAGGGGGAAGAGGAGAGGAGGGGGGAAGAGGGGGAGAGAGGUGGAGAAGGAAGGGGAGGAGGUGGGAUGAAGGAGGAAAGAGGGAGAGGGGGAGAGAGAAGGGGAAUGAGGGAGCAGAGGGAAGGGGAAGAGGGAAGGAGGGAGGGAGAAAUAGGGAGAAGGGAAGGGGAGUAGGGGUGAAAGGAUGAAGGACUGAAGAAGUAGGGGUCGGGGGGGGGGAAGGAUAGGUGAGGAGGGGGAGAGGGGGGUUAGAUGAGGAGGGGGGAGAGUUGAGACCAAAUGGUGUAUAAGAGCGAAGAGAGAAGAUUAAUUCCUGUUCACGGCGCAAACGGGAAUCCGGAUGGCCUCUGUGUAAGGACAAACCGAACACAGAUAGGUGUUGCAAGGAGUGACCGGUGGAGCGGAAAUGGCGUGAGACCGGUGUGUCGUUCGCAAGGUGGAUGUCACGAAGGUGUUCCGCGAACCGGUCAGCCAAGCGGCGUCCCGUUUGUCCGAUGUACAAGGAAUGGCAGAGAGAGCCAGAGACGCAAUAGAUAAUAUUGCUGGAGGUGCAGGUGAAGGAGUGGAUGAUGGGAUAGGGUCGAUGGUGGGUGCUAGUGAGGAGGGUGGUGUUGGAGAGGUAAGGGCAAGUGCGGCAACGUGGGCGGGAGCAGGGGAACGAGCCGGGUUGGGAGGUAGAGUCAGGGAAGGAGCUAUGGACCAAAAGGUCUCGAAGGUUGUGGGCUCGUUUGAAAAAGGGGAGGGGUCGGUUAGGGAAGAGGUGUGAAGUGGACGGGUCGGACUGGAGAUGACGGAAAGCUCGAAGAAUAGUGCGUUGGAGACGUAGGGUCGUGGGGUGGUAAGUGAGGGGAAAAAGGAGGCGGGAGACUACAGGGCGGGUUCGGGGAGAGAGAGCAGAUACACGGUCCACGGACCGUGCUCUGGCAAGGGCGGUGUGGAUAGUGGUGAGGGGGUAUCCACGUAGGGUGAAGUGGUGAGCCAUACGUUGAGACUGAGUCUCAAAGUCAUGGUCGUCACUACAGAGCCUACGUAGACGGAGGAAUUGGGAAUAGGGGAUGGAAAGCUUGGGGUGUUCUGGGUGGGAGGAAGAGAAGUUGAGGUAUGAGUGUGAGUCUGUGUGUUUGUAGUGAAUGGAGGUGGUAAGAGUGGAGUGAAGAAUGCUAACCGAAAUGUCGAGGAAGGAGACAGAGGUGUUGGAGAUAGUGGAAGUGAAGUGGAGGGCUGGAUGGAAAGAUUGGACGAAAGAGAGGAAGGAAUCUAGAUGUUCACGGGAGAGUGAGGUGGCACCGAUAAUGUCAUCAAUGUAACGACCAUAUAGUUCAGGAGUGGGACUAGUGAAAUUAGAGAAUAUUUGGGCCUCAACAUAGCCAACGAACAGGUUCGCAUAGUUGGGGCCCAUUCGCGUUCCCAUGGCCACUCCCGAGAUCUGAUGGUAGAACUCGCCCGCGAACGAGAAGCAGUUCAGAGUAAGGACAAGUUCGGCCAGACGAAUGAGUGUGGAGGUGUCAGGUACAGGGUUAGAGCGGAGGUCAAGAAAGUGUCGAAGGGCCUGCAGUCCUUCGUGGUGAGGGAUAACAGUAUAGAGGCUUUGGAUGUCCAUAGUAAAAAGGAUUUUGGAGGAGCCGGGAGGAAAGGAGAAAGAGUUGAAAAGCCGGAGAGCAUGGUUGGUAUCGUGGAUGUGGGAGGGAAGAGAUGCCACUAAGGGGGCAAGGACACGGUCGAGAUAUUUAGAGAUGAGCUCCGUGGGGCAGUUACAGGCGGAGACGAUGGGGCGGCCAGGGUUGUUGGGUUUGUGGAUUUUGGGGAGGAAGUAAAUGGUGGGGGUACGUGGGGUUCGCACAAUUAGGUUGGAUGCGGUGCGGGGGAGACGGGAGGACGAGAUGAGGUCGCGGACAGUAGAGGAUACCGUCUGUUGGUAGCUACGUGUGGGGUUAGAGGGCAGAGGUGAGUAGAAGGAGGUGUCAUUGAGUUGGCGGAAAGCCUCGGCCCUAUAGAGGUCCGCGCUCCACACCACUACAGCUCCACCCUUGUCAGCCUAUAUAUAUAUAUAUAUAUAUAUAUAUAUAUAUAUAUAUAUAUAUAUAUAUAUAUAUAUAUAUAUAUUCACAUAUACGCACGUAUAUACACGCAUAUGAGAAUUGUACUUUCUGUGUUAUUGUCUGUCUAUACCCAAACCGGUUUCGUUUCUCAAUAUCCUUCUUAAAAACAUUUAACAAACUUAUGGAGUUAUCCUUCUUAAAAAUAAGAAACGUUUUUUUUUUUAUUUUAAAACAUAAUUUACAAUCAAAAAUAUUAAUAAAAAUUCACAAUUAUAUUUUCAUGAAAUUUAAUUAUAUGACCUUCUUCUGGUUACUUUACAGAAGUUACAUUCUGAAAAAUAAGAUUUAUCAGGCAUCUACCAAGAGAUUCUAUCUUCAUGUAACUAACUCACUGUUAUUGAUUAUCUAGUGUCCUUGCUUUCUUACAUUUUUCUCUCUCCUGCUCUCCCUCCCGUUUUAUCUCUGUAUACAGACAUAUACACAUUUCUACACACUUCAACACACACACAUACCAAUAUAUAUGUAUAUAUAUAUAUAUAUAUAUGCACAUAUACAUAUAUAUACAUGUAUAUAUGCUUAUCUAUUGUGCUUACAGUUUCUCAAAUGUGUUUCUUAGACAUCUUCAGGGAAUAAAUAUACUUUAAUGAUAUCUUAGAAAGAAAUCUCAGCUCAGAUAAAUAAUUAUCAUUUCGUCUUCAAUACAUUGAGAAAUACGUAUUGUUUGCGACAUUCCAUGCCAUUAUCAACAAAGCAAUCCCUCUAGAAACAUGCACACGCAUAAAAAUACAUACAAACAGGCGUUUCUGUGUAGUAAGAAGCUUGCUUCCAAACAACAUGGUUCCGAGUCUGGUCCCACUGCGUAGCAACUUGGGCAAAUAACUUUCACUAUAAUCUCGAGUCGACCAAAUCUUUGUGAGUUGAUUUGGUUGAGGGAAACUGAAAGAGGCCUGUCGCAUAUAUAUAUAUAUAUAUAUAUAUAUAUAUAUAUGUGUGUGUGUGUGUGUGUUAUAUAUAUAUAUAUAUAUAUAUAUAUAUAUAUAUAUAUAUAUAUAUAUAUAUAUAUAUAUAUAUAUAUAUAUAUAUAUAUUUCUGCUGCUUUUAAAUAAAGCAUAUUACUCUACCUCUCGUAUUUCAGUACUCUUUUUUCCACCUCGUUUCACAUUUAUGUGCUUACUACGGUAUAUAUAUAUAUAUACUAACAGCAUCGCCCGGCGUUACUCGGGUUUGUUUCGACCCUUUAGAAUUUUAAUUUUUGAAAGAGGCAAGACAAAUUUUUCAUGUUUGUUGCACCCACACGUCAGUAUACACUCAGUGAAGCUUUACAAUAGUGUCGUAAUUGUAUCAACUGCUAUUUAUUUCCAAUGCAUAUUGGUGCCUUGUUGCACCAAUAAUCUAUCUAUCGAUCUAUCUAUCUAUCUAUCUAUCUAUCUAUCUAUCUAUCUAUCUAUCUAUCUAUCUAUCUAUCUAUCUAUCUAUCUAUCUAUCUAUCUAUCUAUCUAUCUAUCUCUAUCUCUAUCUCUCUCUCUCUCUAUAUAUAUAUGCUUUCGGUGCGAUGUAUAUAUAUGUUUAUAUGUUUGUAUGUAUAUAAAUGUUUGUGUGUGUGUGUAUGUGUGUGUGUGUGUGUGUGUGUGUGUUUGUCCAGCCACAAUCGCUUGACAACAAGUAUUGGUGCGUUUAGGUUCUCGUAACAAAAGAUAGCGAUUGAAUAAAUACUAAGCUUUAAAAGAAGACCGAAAUUUUAAAUUUCGAUUCAUUCGACUCAAAUUCUUCAAGGUGGCUCCCCAACAUGGCUGCAGUCCAAUGACUGACGCAAAAACCAAUCAAGAGUAAAUGAUAGAAUAUACAUACAUAUACAUAUAUAUGUAUAUAUAUAUAUUGAAAUAUAUAUAUAUGUAUGUGUUUGUGCGUGUAUAUGUAUAUAUAUAUAUAUAUAUAUAUCACCGUGAUCACCGUGACCGACCAGGCUAUCAGAUGUUGCUACACAUCGCUGGUCACAAUGCGCUUCGCAUUGUUUUAGCCUUCAAAUGACGCCACCCCGCUGGCUAAGCGAGCAAGCCAACAGAAGAAAGAGAGAGAGAAAGUUGUGGCGAAAGAGUACAGCAGGGAUCGCCACCACUCCCUGCCGGAGCCUCGUGGAGCUUUAGGUGUUUUCGCUCAAUAAACACUCACAACUCCUGGUCUGGGAAUCGAAAUAGCGAUCCUACGACCGCGAGUCCGCUGCCCUAACCACUGGGCCCUUGCGCCUCCACAUAUAUAUAUAUAUAUAUAUAUAUAUAUAUAUAUAUAUAUAUAUGAUAGAUGUAUCUGUAUAUAUAUAUAUAUAUAUAUAUGCAUAGAUGUUUCUGUAUAUAUAUAUAGAUAUGCAUAGAUGUAUCUGUAUAUAUAUAUAUAUAUAUAUAUAUAUAUAUAUAGAGAGAGAGAGAGAGAGAGAAAAAUUCAUUAAACUCACUCGAUUACUACCUGUAUGCAAUCACUACUUUCUAUCGCCCACUUUGUCUGACAUAACUUUUGCGUUCCUUUGAAAGAAUGAGAAAUGGAGAUUACCAUUUGCACUCGUGACUUGGCCAGGAGCGUGGCAUCGACUUAAGCGUAUCGAUUGCGAAUGUGAUCUGUGAUCUGAUGUACUCGACAGAAAUAUUUCCAAUAUGCACAGACAUGUUUUAACUUGAUUAAUUGCAAAUUUCUCUUAUUAAUUUAUUCAUAACAGCAGGCGUGGCUGUGUGGUAAGAAGUUUGCUUCUAAACCGCAUAAUUUUGAGUUCAGUCCCUCUUCGCGGCAUCUUUGACAAGUGCCUUCUAAUAACGCUCCGGAACGACCAAUGCCUUGCGAGUGGAUUUUUAAAUAUAUAUAUGUAUGUAUGUAUGUAUGUAUGUAUGUAAGCAUGUAUGUAUGCAUGUAUGUAUGUAUGUAUAUGUGUGCAUGCACGUUUUUGUUUGUCUUUGUGAUUGUUGGUUUGUUUACCUCCUUGUAACUUAACGGUUCGCAAAAAUAUCGAUAGAAUAAGUACUAACCUUAAAAGAGUAUUAGGGUCUAUAUUAUAUUUCAUGUUUUUCUAAGACGAAAUUUCUCUGUUAAUCUCGCUUUGAAAUUUAAUUCUUUCUAAAUUUAGCACAACGCUAGCUAUUUUAAAAGGAGAGAUAGGUCUAUAUUAUCGAUCCCAGUACUCAACUGGUACUUAUUUUAUCGACCUAAAAUAAUGAAAGGUAGAUAUAACCUCGGCCGAAUUUGAACUGACAGCAUAAACCCGGGAGAAAUGCCGUACCGCAUGUCGUCCAUCGCGGUAACGAUUUUGCCAGCUUAUUGCCUCUCACUGGUUACAAUCUAGUUAUUUUAUUUUCACACCUACAUGUGAAGUCGACAAUUCUUCCCUCUGUUGGUAGAUUUGUCGUAGCACUUUACAUCAUUCUGGCUCACAGCAUAAGCUAGAGGCUAUAAAUUGUUCUUCCAUUUCUAUUUACACUGCAUGAGGAAGAUGUGUUCAGAUUUCUUUCCUGCAAUACAACAAGACUGUUUGCAACAAAAACGUAAAUAAAUACAAUAAUUAAAAAAAUAUAUAGAAAGAAAACUUCUCAAAAGAAUAGGUAAAUUUCAACAAAUACAACAUAAUGCAUCAAAAUAUAGUAUUUAAUGAAACAUAAAAAGAAGAUAUCAAACUAAAGAAAAAGAAGUUGUAUAAUAUUAUUCUAAAAACCGCUGCGUGUGUUACAUUUGCAUCCAUCAUGAUUCGACAAUAGUUCAUUAUAGACUCAUGAUUGCAUUGACGUUUUCUAUGGUUCUGUCUUUUACUAAGAAGAGUCGAAAUAUAGACAUGGUAAGCAAGUUAUUGUGAUGUGAAGCAGGUUAAGAAUAUCAUCAAUUAUAUGUCUGCGAUGUUUACUAACAUUACUAAAAAAUAGUUUGUUUGGCAAAUAGAGAAGUUAUACAUAAAUAAAGAUUGCACCAGAAAAAUAUUUCCAAAGAUGCUUUUUUUUAAUAUGUUUUUCAGUUUUCUUUAUUUCUGUAUGUGUGUAUAUCCAAUAAUAGAGAAAUAACAUAUUGAUUCUUCUCUUUCGUCGACAUUAGGGACAUAUUGGCUUCGCAGGUGUAAAGACAAUGGAAUGUAUUACUGCCAUCACGAGGAACAUCAACGUAGACACACACAGAAAGAUCCACACAGCACACAUACAAAGAUACAUACAGCACACACUGUACAUACAUACACACGGGCGUGCGCACAAACACACACGCUCAAAAAGGACAGAUAUAAACAGAUAUAGAUUCACACACGCGUUAUCAUGCAAAUUCGCGCAUACGAAAUUAUGCAUCUUUAUAUAAACAUGUAUUAGGGAUAUUUACAUGUGUAUAAUGCAUAAAUACAAGCGCGUGUAUGCAUGCAUCAUGCACACCCACCAAUAGGAAUAUACAUAUGUACUACAUAUAUAACUGCAAAUAUAUAUAUAUAUAUAUAUGUGUGUGUGUGUGUGUGUGUGUGUGUGUGUGUGUGUGUGAUACUUAUACAUAUGUACAUAUAUAUAUAUAUAUAUAUAUAUAUAUAUAUAUAUAUAUAUAUAUAUAUAUAUAUAUAUAUAUAUAUGUAUAAACACAUGCAUAAAUGCAUACAUACAUAUAUAAUACAUAAACACAUACAUACAUUCAAACAUUCAUAUCUACAAAGAAGCAUACAUACACAGACGCGACAAAAGUAAAUAGACACCUCAGAAAACAUUGUUUUAUGAUUCUAACUUGUAAAUGUUUAUAUUAUUUAUCAAUUGACAUCUUAAUGUUUUAGAUUCUAUAUGUGACUGUUUAAUCAUGACAUAUACAAAAGAAGCUUUGGAACUCUCUGAAUUUCAAAGAUGCCAUGCUGUGGGUCAUUCUGAAGUGGACCUAGCAUAAAAUAGUUGUAAACCUUGGGAUCCGUCUUUCUAAAAUUAAUAGUGAUUGUGCAAUUCCCUGGAGGGUGGAAGGAGUUCAUAUCACCUCGCCCAGAUCAACCAGAGCCUCUGACAGGACCCUUCUCUUUGCUAAGAGAAGUGUAGAGGAUAAUCCUCGUCGCAAGGCCUCUGACAUAGCAGAACAAGUUGAUAUCAGCCCCCGAACAGCUGUCAGGUAUCUCCACAAACUUGGUUAAUAUGGCAGACCAGCAAGAAGGAAGCCACUUCUUCGACCAGCAAACAUCAAGCGGAGAAAAGAUUCGGCCAGUGAGAUGGUGGAGAGGCCACUAGAAUUUUAGGACACUCUCAUAUUCUCCGAUGAAUCCAGGUUUGCUGUAUUUCCUGACAGUGUGGGUCUGGAGACUGCGAUCAAGAAUUUGACAUGAAAAGAUUGCUGCCAACAAUAAAACACGGCAACUAUUCUGUGAUACUCUGGGGAGCAAUUUGGAGCAAUGUGGUGGAGAGUGUGAUGGAAACAUAAACUCAAAUAAGUAUGUGUCCAUAUUGCAGAAAGGAUUCAUUCCAAUCUUCUCCAGUGGCGAAGUGAUUAAAGAAGACUAUUUACACGGCUAAAAUGACCCAAGAUUUUCUGGAUGAAAAUGGCAUUAAAAAGCUUCAAUGGCCAAGCCAGUCACAAGAUAAGAAGCCUAUUGAACACCACUGAGACAUAUUGGACAUAAGAAAGUACAAGGAAGCAUCUCCAAAGCCAGGUCUUUUGAGAUUACUGCAGUAAACUUGGCAAGAAAUUCCCCAAGAGAAUAUUCGUCAUUUGAGCAGUAACAUGCCUAAUACGGUCCUUGCGUUGAAAAAUGCACAGGGCAUGUCUUGUAAAUUAUUAAAUAUUCACAUUAUAACAAUUAAUAAAUAAUUUGAAUGUAUAAUUUCAGAUUUAAAUAAAAUUCUAAUAAUUAUUAGGGUGUCUAUUUACUUCUGUCAUGUCUGUGUACACAAACACGUACACGCACGUACACAUACACACAUAUACAUGUAUACUUACAUGCAUACAUACAUGCAUACAUAUAUACACACAUUCAUACACACAUACAUACCAUCUCUCCUCCAAGCGUUCAAUUUUUUACCCUCACUUUAAAUUAUAUAUACAUAUAUAUAUGUAUAAGGAUAAGAUCGAUAUUUAAAUACCGAUCUUAUCAGGUGGCCAGCAUGGGAAUAAAAACCUUCAAAGGUAAUACUUAUUUAAAAUUAUAAUUUAGGGUAUCUAAGAGAUACCACCACGCUGGAAAUAGCAGUCAAAACAUGACUCUAAAACCACAUUAAAUGUCCAUAUAGCACCAGGAGAGAAGACAGAGACAAAAUAAAUUAGCAAAAAAAUUACUGGAUAAUUCCAGAUCCCGAAUUUCUGACUCUGCGUAAGAAAUGCUUGUCUUUCAUUAGUGGAAUAUACUCAGAUAGCUCAUAAAUACAAAUAUAUAUAUAUAUAUAUAUAUAUACAACAUACGAUAUACUUACAUGUAAUGAACAUUAAAUGUGGUUUUAGAGUCUAGUUUUGACUGCUAUUUCCAGCGUGGUGCUAUCUGUUAGAUAACCUAAAUUAUAAUUUAUAUAUAUAUAUAUAUAUAUAUAUAUAUAUAUAUAUAUAUAUAUGCAGACACACAUGUAGACACAUACUUAGCGUUACCCACCCAUCUAUCUAUAUAGCUUUGCUCACACAUCUGUAACUAUGCCCAUAUUUAUGUAUGCAUAUUAUCCUAUGUACACAGAUGCUAAGCGCGGGAUUUAUGCAGACGACCUUGAAACUGAGGGCUAAAUCUGAAAUAUGUAGUGUUUAAAAGAUAACGAAAAAAAGCACAUAACUGUUGGUCUUACCCAAGCUAAUGACCGUGUGAAUAGAAGUAUUUAGCAAGGCGAUGAUUUCGUGGGAGUUUCUUUUGUGUGACACAUAAAACUGCUAUCACUAAUAUGUGAUGUACUUACUUGUACUUGUAGCGACAUUCACCCUGGGCGGGUUGAGUCGGCUUCAUCCACCACCCUCGAGGCAUCUCGAACUAUGGCGGUGGAAGAAGUUUCGUGGGAAUAUGAAUUUCACAAGCGGUCCCCAACAAUCCCGCAUGUAGAGACAUCCUGUCUGCUGCAGAUUGUCCGCAGACGCAGGGACAGAACGACCAAGGAGCCGCCGGUUGCCGAAACAGAAACUCCGAGGAUAUGUGAUGGUAAUGAUGGAAGUGGCUUUGUUUAUUUUCGUAACCAGUGUUUCAGGCAUUUACCAAACAUCUCGUACCUCAUAAAUAGAUAUCUGUCUCGACAGGAGAAUAAGGCUUUCUCAGCUGUGUAAGAGUUACUUCAUUUACUUGCAUUUGUAUACUCAUUGGAUAUUUUCUGUAAUCUCCAGUUUCUUUUGAAGUCCGUGCC
rnacentral:lncRNA from 1 species